rfam:Ictidomys tridecemlineatus contig045610, whole genome shotgun sequence.
GUCGUUUUCAGUUCAAAAGUGUGAUGAUUGGGUUUUGCGUUGGGUGAAAUAUGCCUUUCUCUAAAUGUUGUUAGAAUAUCAGUGCAUUACCCAUCUGACA